UACAGAGGUCUCAAGCGUUGUUCGGAUUCAUUGGGCGUAAAGGGCGCGUAGGCGGCGGGGUAAGUCGGGUGUGAAAUCUCAGAGCUCAACUCUGAAAUGGCACUUGAUACUGCUCUGCUAGAGGACUGGAGAGGAGAUUGGAAUUCACGGUGUAGCAGUGAAAUGCGUAGAUAUCGUGAGGAAGAUCGGUGGCGAAGGCGGAUCUCUGGACAGUUCCUGACGCUGAGGCGCGAAGGCCAGGGGAGCAAACGGG
rnacentral:rRNA from 1 species